rnacentral:tRNA from 1 species
AAGUAGAAGCGAUUAAUUGCAAUUAGUUUCGACCUAAUCUUAGGAAAAAUUUUUCCCUACUUU